UACGUAGGGGGCGAGCGUUGUCCGGAUUUACUGGGCGUAAAGCGCGUGUAGGCGGCGGUUUAAGUGAGGUGUGAAAGCCCGGGGCUCAACCCCGGGAUGCCGCUUCAAACUGGAUCGCUUGAGGCCGGAAGAGGGGAGUGGAAUUCCAGGUGUAGCGGUGAAAUGCGCAGAUAUCAGGAGGAACACCAAUUGCGAAGACAGCUCGCUGGGACGUUACUGACGCUGAGACGCGAAAGCGUGGGGAGCAAACGGG
rnacentral:rRNA from 1 species